UUUGAGGGGAAUGUUGUCUGGCUCGGGGCCGCCGCCGCCGCUCCUUCCUUCUCUAGUCUCUCUUCUCUCCUAGCAGCUACUCUUCGCUUCCUACUCCUAUCUCGAUCCCUCUCUUCUUCUUCUUCUUCUUCUUCCUCUUCCCCCCUCUCUUGGAUCGAGACCGAGCGGACGGAGACGAGUGGUGUAGAUCUCGGACCAGGCUUCAUUCCCCCCAAA
rfam:Zea mays cultivar B73 chromosome 6, whole genome shotgun sequence.